rnacentral:lncRNA from 10 species
AAAUAUACCAUCCCCACUGAACAGAUGAGAAAACUGAGGCUCAGAGGUGUCAGCUCCUGAGAGAGCCCUGGCUUUGUGGGGUGAAGUCCUUUGAUUGCCUCAGGUUCCUGAUCUGUUCGUGACCCUGUUAGCCCAAAAGCUGGCAGAGCUCCAUUCUUUUUAGGUCUUAUUCUCAGACGGUCUUGGGUAAAUGGUGGCUGAUUGCCUUCAGCAUCUAGAACAAAACACUCUAUGGCCCAGAGGAAUUCCAGCUGGAAUCUAUGAUCUUAUUCUCUUGAGGAAUGGACCAUGCAGUAUCCUUCAAGGAAGAAUCAAGAAUGUUUCCACAGAGAAUAUACAUAUUUCAUCUCUUUCUCUGCUGAAUGGAUCCCCACUGAAAGCCAUGAAUUUCUCUUAUUAGACCCUGUAGAAUCCCAGUUUAUGGCAGUGACAUUAAAAACAUCUAGUUUAUGACUUGGAUUAGGCAGCCUGUAAAAUGGCUUCCAGUGAUCCCUGCUCU